rnacentral:rRNA from 1 species
GGUUAAGCGACUAAGCGUACACGGUGGAUGCCCUGGCAGUCAGAGGCGAUGAAGGGCGUGCUAAUCUGCGAUAAGCGCCGGUAAGGUGAUAUGAACCGUUAUAACCGGCGAUACCCGAAUGGGGAAACCCAGUGUGAUUCGUCACACUAUCAUUAACUGAAUCCAUAGGUUAAUGAGGCGAACCGGGGGAACUGAAACAUCUAAGUACCCCGAGGAAAAGAAAUCAACCGAGAUUCCCCCAGUAGCGGCGAGCGAACGGGGAGGAGCCCAGAGCCUGAAUCAGCAUGUGUGUUAGUGGAAGCGUCUGGAAAGGCGCGCGAUACAGGGUGACAGCCCCGUACACAAAAGCGCAUGUGCUGUGAGCUCGAUGAGUAGGGCGGGACACGUGGUAUCCUGUCUGAAUAUGGGGGGACCAUCCUCCAAGGCUAAAUACUCCUGACUGACCGAUAGUGAACCAGUACCGUGAGGGAAAGGCGAAAAGAACCCCGGCGAGGGGAGUGAAAAAGAACCUGAAACCGUGUACGUACAAGCAGUGGGAGCACCCUUUGGGGUGUGACUGCGUACCUUUUGUAUAAUGGGUCAGCGACUUAUAUUCUGUAGCAAGGUUAACCGUAUAGGGGAGCCGUAGGGAAACCGAGUCUUAACCGGGCGUUAAGUUGCAGGGUAUAGACCCGAAACCCGGUGAUCUAGCCAUGGGCAGGUUGAAGGUUGGGUAACACUAACUGGAGGACCGAACCGACUAAUGUUGAAAAAUUAGCGGAUGACCUGUGGCUGGGGGUGAAAGGCCAAUCAAACCGGGAGAUAGCUGGUUCUCCCCGAAAGCUAUUUAGGUAGCGCCUCGUGAAUUCAUCUCCGGGGGUAGAGCACUGUUUCGGCUAGGGGGCCAUCCCGGCUUACCAACCCGAUGCAAACUGCGAAUACCGGAGAAUGUUAUCACGGGAGACACACGGCGGGUGCUAACGUCCGUCGUGAAGAGGGAAACAACCCAGACCGCCAGCUAAGGUCCCAAAGUCAUGGUUAAGUGGGAAACGAUGUGGGAAGGCCCAGACAGCCAGGAUGUUGGCUUAGAAGCAGCCAUCAUUUAAAGAAAGCGUAAUAGCUCACUGGUCGAGUCGGCCUGCGCGGAAGAUGUAACGGGGCUAAACCAUGCACCGAAGCUGCGGCAGCGACGCUGAUGCGUUGUUGGGUAGGGGAGC